rnacentral:tRNA from 1 species
AAAGGGGUGGCAGAAAAGUGCCUUAGUCCUAAGAUCUAACAACGGGUUUACCCCCCCUUUAACCGC